GACGAACCGUGCGAACGUUGUUCGGAAUCACUGGGCUUAAAGGGCGCGUAGGCGGACACGCCAGUCCGGGGUGAAAUCUUUCGGCUUAACCGGAAAAGGGCCUUGGAUACUGCGUGUCUGGAGGAAGGUAGGGGCAUGCGGAACUUCCGGUGGAGCGGUGAAAUGCGUUGAUAUCGGAAGGAACGCCGGUGGCGAAAGCGGCGUGCUGGACCUUUUCUGACGCUGAGGCGCGAAAGCCAGGGGAGCGAACGGG
rnacentral:rRNA from 1 species